CUAGAUCUGAGUAUAUCAAUAUUACCUUGUUCAGAACUUAAAGAGAAAUCUUGAGUUUAUGGACUUCAGGGGGAGUAUGGUCACAAGGCUGAAACUUAAAGGAAUUGACGGAAGGGCACACCAGGAGUGGAGCCUGCGGCUUAAUUUGACUCAACACGGGAAAACUUACCAAGACCGAACAGUAGAAGGAAUGACAGAUUAAGAGUUCUUUCAUGAUUUAUUGGGUAGUGGUGCAUGGCCGUUCUUAGUUGGUGGAGUGAUUUGUCAGGUUAAUUCCGGUAACGAACGAGACUGAAACCUAUUAAUUAGUUUUCUGCCUAUAAGACAGAAAUGUUCGCAAGAACAGGUGCGUAAGUACCACUUCUUAAAGGGACACAUUUCAAUUGUCCUAUUUUAAUUGUAGUUAUCUAAUUUCGGU
rnacentral:rRNA from 1 species